AAUCAUAUCAACUUGUGGAAAAUGGGCAUCCGAAGACCCCUUUAAGAAUUGUGUGAGAUUUGUGAGAAUUGUGAGAUUAUUUGCUGUCACAUUGUCACACUUUAAUGGAUGUUUGAGAAAACCAUGCGGUAACAGAGUAACAUUGUUUUGUCUCUCCUAAAGCAAGGCAGUCAGAGAAUUCUUAUGUCUGGAUGACCCACCUACUGCUUUUGACAAUGUUAGAGACAGAUGGGCCUUCUGUGAGACACUGGGAGGGACCAACUGUUGCUAUCAAAGAGACUUAAUGGACAACGAGUCCCCGAGAAAUGUCCUGCUGCACAAAGAGCUCCAAAUUAGCCAGCCUGAGAGAACAAAGAAUGGCUUGUAUAGAACACAAGAGGAACUGAACAAAGAGCCCAGAGACUUUUUAACAGCACAGGAAUAUAAAGAAGUGGAAAGAGACAACCUCAGGAGACCAAAUAAAAGUUCCGAACUGGGGUUCAUAAGGGGUCACGGAGCAUGCUGGUGCGGAUCAGCAACUGAGAGUCCAGAAAAGCACAGUUCUGUAGGACUGUUCCAAGAACCCCGUCAAAUAAAUUAAAAGAAAGGGGGGGAAAGCAACUACAGGGCACUUUCUUCAAAUCUUCUGUUUGUUCUUAAUCCAUAAUAAGUUUUGUUUAUUUUGGAUAAAUCAAAAUCAAUUAGUAUCAGAAAAUGAUUUGGAGCACAAACACUUUUAAUGCCUUAACUAAAAGAUGUUCUUUAAAAGAUUUAAUGAUGUGUGUCAGUACGUGUGUGAUCAGUUUGUUUUAUAGAGAUUUUACAGACCAUCUCUUUCAAACUCUCACUUGGACUAUAACAGCCAAAGUAGUAACGUCACUUGCUCUCCGAUAAAAUCUUGUUUACAAUUUUCUGUUUGUUACACAGAUUUUUGACUUCUGUUUUGGAUUACUAACAUUUGGGUACUGGCUUUGAGAUUUGGA